rnacentral:rRNA from 1 species
CCCGCACAAGCGGUGGAGCAUGUGGUUUAUUCGAAGCAACGCGCAGAACCUUACCAACCCUUGACAUGGGUAUCGCGGAACCAGAGAUGGUUCUUUCAGUUCGGCUGGAUACCACACAGGUGCUGCAUGGCUGUCGUCAGCUCGUGUCGUGAGAUGUUCGGUUAAGUCCGGCAACGAGCGCAACCCACACUCUUAGUUGCCAUCAUUCAGUUGGGCACUCUAGGAGAACUGCCGGUGAUAAGCCGGAGGAAGGUGUGGAUGACGUCAAGUCCUCAUGGCCCUUACGGGUUGGGCUACACACGUGCUACAAUGGUGGUGACAAUGGGUUAAUCCCAAAAAGCCAUCUCAGUUCGGAUUGGGGUCUGCAACUCGACCCCAUGAAGUCGGAAUCGCUAGUAAUCGCGUAACAGCAUGACGCGGUGAAUACGUUCCCGGGCCUU